rnacentral:rRNA from 1 species
GGUUAAGCGACUAAGCGUACACGGUGGAUGCCCUGGCAGUCAGAGGCGAUGAAGGACGUGCUAAUCUGCGAAAAGCGUCGGUAAGGUGAUAUGAACCGUUACAGCCGGCGAUGUCCGAAUGGGGAAACCCAGUGCAAUUCGUUGCACUAUCGUUAACUGAAUACAUAGGUUAACGAGGCGAACCGGGGGAACUGAAACAUCUAAGUACCCCGAGGAAAAGAAAUCAACCGAGAUUCCCCCAGUAGCGGCGAGCGAACGGGGAGCAGCCCGGAGUCUGAAUCAGCUUGUGUGUUAGUGGAAGCGUCUGGAAAGUCGCAGGGUACAGGGUGAUACUCCCGUACACUAAAACGCACAGGUUGUGAACUCGAAGAGUAGGGCGGGACACGUGGUAUCCUGUCUGAAUAUGGGGGGACCAUCCUCCAAGGCUAAAUACUCCUGACUGACCGAUAGUGAACCAGUACCGUGAGGGAAAGGCGAAAAGAACCCCGGCGAGGGGAGUGAAAAAGAACCUGAAACCGUGUACGUACAAGCAGUAGGAGCCCACUAGUUGGGUGACUGCGUACCUUUUGUAUAAUGGGUCAGCGACUUAUAUUCUGUAGCAAGGUUAACCGUAUAGGGGAGCCGCAGGGAAACCGAGUCUUAACUGGGCGUUAAGUUGCAGGGUAUAGACCCGAAACCCGGUGAUCUAGCCAUGGGCAGGUUGAAGGUUGGGUAACACUAACUGGAGGACCGAACCGACUAAUGUUGAAAAAUUAGCGGAUGACUUGUGGCUGGGGGUGAAAGGCCAAUCAAACCGGGAGAUAGCUGGUUCUCCCCGAAAGCUAUUUAGGUAGCGCCUCGUGAAUUCAUCUUCGGGGGUAGAGCACUGUUUCGGCUAGGGGGUCAUCCCGACUUACCAACCCGAUGCAAACUACGAAUACCGAAGAAUGUUAUCACGGGAGACACACGGCGGGUGCUAACGUCCGUCGUGAAGAGGGAAACAACCCAGACCGCCAGCUAAGGUCCCAAAGUCAUGGUUAAGUGGGAAACGAUGUGGGAAGGCCCAGACAGCCAGGAUGUUGGCUUAGAAGCAGCCAUCAUUUAAAGAAAGCGUAAUAGCUCACUGGUCGAGUCGGCCUGCGCGGAAGAUGUAACGGGGCUAAACCAUGCACCGAAGCUGCGGCAGCGACACUAUGUGUUGUUGGGUAGGGGAGCGUUCUGUAAGCCGUUGAAGGUGGCCUGUGAGGGUUGCUGGAGGUAUCAGAAGUGCGAAUGCUGACAUAAGUAACGAUAAUGCGGGUGAAAAACCCGCACGCCGGAAGACCAAGGGUUCCUGUCCAACGUUAAUCGGGGCAGGGUGAGUCGACCCCUAAGGCGAGGCCGAAAGGCGUAGUCGAUGGGAAACAGGUUAAUAUUCCUGUACUUGGUGUUACUGCGAAGGGGGGACGGAGAAGGCUAUGUUGGCCGGGCGACGGUUGUCCCGGUUUAAGCAUGUAGGCGGAUGUUCCAGGUAAAUCCGGAGCGUCACUAACGCUGAGGUGUGAUGACGAGGCACUACGGUGCUGAAGUGACAAAUGCCCUGCUUCCAGGAAAAGCCUCUAAGCAUCAGGUAACAUCAAAUCGUACCCCAAACCGACACAGGUGGUCAGGUAGAGAAUACCAAGGCGCUUGAGAGAACUCGGGUGAAGGAACUAGGCAAAAUGGUGCCGUAACUUCGGGAGAAGGCACGCUGAUGGUAGGUGAAGUGACUUGCUCAUGGAGCUGAAAUCAGUCGAAGAUACCAGCUGGCUGCAACUGUUUAUUAAAAACACAGCACUGUGCAAACACGAAAGUGGACGUAUACGGUGUGACGCCUGCCCGGUGCCGGAAGGUUAAUUGAUGGGGUUAUCCUCGCGGAGAAGCUCUUGAUCGAAGCCCCGGUAAACGGCGGCCGUAACUAUAACGGUCCUAAGGUAGCGAAAUUCCUUGUCGGGUAAGUUCCGACCUGCACGAAUGGCGUAAUGAUGGCCAGGCUGUCUCCACCCGAGACUCAGUGAAAUUGAACUCGCUGUGAAGAUGCAGUGUACCCGCGGCAAGACGGAAAGACCCCGUGAACCUUUACUAUAGCUUGACACUGAACACUGGUCCUUGAUGUGUAGGAUAGGUGGGAGGCUUUGAAGUGUGGACGCCAGUCUGCAUGGAGCCAUCCUUGAAAUACCACCCUUUAAUGGCUGGUGUUCUAACGUGGGCCCGUGAUCCGGGUUGCGGACAGUGUCUGGUGGGUAGUUUGACUGGGGCGGUCUCCUCCUAAAGAGUAACGGAGGAGCACGAAGGUCAGCUAAUCCUGGUCGGACAUCAGGAGGUUAGUGCAAUGGCAUAAGCUGGCUUGACUGCGAGCGUGACGGCGCGAGCAGGUGCGAAAGCAGGUCAUAGUGAUCCGGUGGUUCUGAAUGGAAGGGCCAUCGCUCAACGGAUAAAAGGUACUCCGGGGAUAACAGGCUGAUACCGCCCAAGAGUUCAUAUCGACGGCGGUGUUUGGCACCUCGAUGUCGGCUCAUCACAUCCUGGGGCUGAAGUAGGUCCCAAGGGUAUGGCUGUUCGCCAUUUAAAGUGGUACGCGAGCUGGGUUUAGAACGUCGUGAGACAGUUCGGUCCCUAUCUGCCGUGGGCGCUGGAGAAUUGAGGGGGGCUGCUCCUAGUACGAGAGGACCGGAGUGGACGCAUCACUGGUGUUCGGGUUGUCAUGCCAAUGGCAUUGCCCGGUAGCUAAAUGCGGAAGAGAUAAGUGCUGAAAGCAUCUAAGCACGAAACUUGCCCCGAGAUGAGUUCUCCCUGACUCCUUGAGAGUCCUGAAGGAACGUUGAAGACGACGACGUUGAUAGGCCGGGUGUGUAAGCGCAGCGAUGCGUUGAGCUAACCGGUACUAAUGAACCGUGAGGCUUAACCUU